rnacentral:lncRNA from 10 species
CACAGCUAUGCACCAAUCCUCCUGGGUUCAGAGAUGGAACUUGGGUUAAAUGCAUGGAAUUUAUUCUUAGUCCUUUUCUUAAUUACGACUUUUUAUUUCUCUGGUGUUCUCUAGGGGAGGGGUUAGAGAAGAGAGGAAAAGGAAGAAAGAAAGGGGGCAGGGAAAUAUAGAUUCAAUGCUUUUGUUUUGUUUCUGGGCUGCUUGCUAUCAGCAAAGUAGAGAGAUUUAACGGAUCUUGCCGAGAAUGCAAGCCUCAUUCCAAGGAAGCCAGAGCUCAGAAGACAUGGAACAAAUACAAUGAAAACAUAACUUGAGUGUGAUUUCAUUAUGAAGUCAGAUGGAAUGAGGAGUGUGUAAAUCCAGAAUCAGAAUCCCAGCGACGAAGCUUUUCUUGCUCUGUUACCUUGGAAAAUGCUUUGAACCAGACCAGAUAAGAAAAGUAAAAGUCUGGAGUGUAAUCCUUCCAAUUGUCUUUUGGCUUCUCUUCUACUUCUACAAAAAGUUCAACAAGUCGGUGGGCAGAAGUCUAAAAUCAAGGUGUCAGCAGUGUGGAAUCCUUCUGGAGGCUUUGAGGUACUCGACUGUGGUUCAAUCUCCAGACCUAGAACAGGAAUAGAAGCAAAGGGAUUUUCAAUAUAAAUAUUAGUUGAAUGAAGAGGACACUGAAGCCAAAGGAGAAAAUUAACUAGCUCAGUCUUGCAUGACCCCUGUGAAUGGACUGAUCUUGAAACCCAGAAAUUAGAAUUUGAAACAACGGAAAGAGAGAAAUUUUAGGUUAGUAGCUAAAUCCCCAAGGAUACUAAUUAGAGAAAGAUGUUGGAAUUGCCUUAAUGAGUCACUGCCAACGCAAGUCCUAAGGAAGCAAAGACUGUGAGUAAGCAAAGGUAGCCAGCUGCUGGGAAGAGGACAAUAGAGGAAAAGGUCAGAGGGACUUUAAAAGACUGACUGUGGGCUCCCUGAGGGAAGGAGGGAUGGAGAGAGUAUCGGGUCCUAUAGAAUACCUUAAUUGUUUUUAUGACUUCUCUUUUCCAUAUCCAGUUCACAUGUACUCCUUUCUGUGCAUUAAAUUGAGUUUCUAUUGGCUUCUUUGUAACAAAAAGAACUGAACAGAAACACAUAUCUAUUGGACAAAGAGCAAUAAAAUGAUAUAAUAACUGUAUCUGAGGGUUUUUUCAUUUUAAAGAAUAAAACAAAACAAAAAUCAAACAAAAAAAACCAUCUAUCUGAUGUUGCUCCACUCCCAACAGCAUCACUAACCGGUAUGUACCCAGCUUCAGCUAAAUAUCCCUAAAACACCUCUUACUUUCCAAGGCAAAGUCUCCCACUGUUGAGUCGUGUUGACUGAUAAAAAGUUCCCUCUGGGGUAAAAAAAUGAAAUUAGUUUUACCUAUCCUGGGGUCACCUCCAAAUACAUAUGCCUGUAAUGUAUUUCAAUUAGAAUACAUUACACACUCCCUGUCACCUUCACUAGGAGAAAAUCAGCAAAGUCAACCAGCAUUUUUAGUUGUCACAACUAAAAGGUACUCCUAGCAUCUGGUAGGCGGAGGCCAGGGAUGCUGCUAAACAUCCUACAAUGGACAGGACAGCCUCUCACAACAAAGAAUUUCCAGCCCAAAAUGUCAACUUUGCCAAAGUAGAAAAGCCCUGUACUAAAGGAGACCUUCCAUAUAAUAGACGGAACCCCCUCUUAGAAGAGAGGCCUUAGAAAUGCUAUGGUUUUGGAGCUUUUCUAUUGAGCCCCUCAUAUUUUCCAUCAACAGCAAGGCCCAGGUAUUAAUUAUAUGGUCUUAUUCUGUGACCUGGUUUGUCAUUCCUGAAAUAGCUAAAAGUAAAACAGAUGUCAUUUCAAUAUCAAGAAGCAGUGGAACAGAAAGUGCCAAGGAGCAGGUGUAUCAGAUACUCAGAGGUGGUAAAGUCAUGGCUGUCCAUGCUUUGGAGCUAGGGCAUCUACAAUGCAAAGGAAGAUUUUAAAUGUGAAUUUUGUGUUCUGGUCUAUGAGUAGAUGAUUCACGACACUAGUUUGAAAAUGCCUGAGUAAUAACUUGACUUUGUUUCUGCACUGGACAUCUGUUGUUUUUGUUCACUGGCAUCACUUCCCUUUUCUUUUUUUCUUUCUUUUUUUUUUUCUUUUUUUUUUUUUUUUUUUUUUUUGAGACACAGUCUUGCUCUGUCCCCCAGGCUGGAGUGCAAUGGCAUGAUCUCGGCUCACUGCAACCUCCACCUCCCAGGUUCUAGCGAUUCUCCUGCCUCAGCCUCCUGAGUAGCUGGGAAUGCAUGCGCAUGCCACCACGUCUGGCCAAUUUUAUUUUAACUAGAGACAGGGUUUCAUCAUGUUGGCCAAGCUGGUCUCGAACUCCCGACCUCAGGUGAUUCCUCUGCCUCAGCCUCCCAAAGUGCUGGGAUUACAGGCAUGAGCCACCAUUCCCGGCUCCCUUCCCUUUUCUUAUGGGAACAGCAUUGAAUUUUCCUUUGAGAAAAUACCUCUCCCUAUAGGGGUAGUUCCUACAAAGUUUCGAUGGAAUUAUGUCAGAGGCUCUUAUACUUUCACACCAUGGCUUGGCAAGUAUCUCAAUCUAGGCCAAUCAGUCUUUGUUUCCUUAGGAUAUACAUCUUGAGUGAAGUAAUGCGUGAAUGGGAAACAUUUAAAGCUGAUUCAUGUGAAUUGGGAUAGUUCCUGAACAGAAUGCCUACGGUUCUUUCUAU